ACCACCYUUGGCACUAUGCCAUGUUCUUUCCUCUUUGAAGGGAGUGCUGGCAGUGGGGAAUCCCUCAAAAUGAUCUGUCAUCAGAAUUCUCAUUUAAAUGAUUAUUCUCCCCCACCCAUCAACUGCCCCUCAGAUUUAGAAUCCACCUUUGCUGCCAGAGGGCAUCUCUGCUGCCAAUCAUCACUCAGGGUCGGUCAAAUGUUGCUGUUCUUGUUAUUGACAAGCAGAUAAAAGAAUCUGGUGAUUGACCUGCUGUGAUAAACUAAAGAAGAUCUUUCUGUCAUGAGGAUGUGAUUUUUUGAUUAUGCCAAGGAACCCUUCCCAUCCUUUGGAACAAAAAGCCUGGUAAUAAGCUGGCAUUUGGAGAUUUUGCACUGUUAGAACAGCAGCAUCACUGUGCAUUAAACAGUCAAGAAGCAAAGCAAAAUUCAGCCUUGGCAAAGGAAAGUUAGCCUCAUAAAUGUUUGUGAGUAAUAAAAAGCAUGUAAAAAGCAUUUACCAGAAAUGCUUCAUUUUUGUCAGAUGCCAGAAGUAUUAAACUUGGAAAAAGCAGAUAUUUUAAUUGCAUUAUGGUCACUACAAAACUUUUCAGAGAUAUUACUCCAGGUAAAUAGAUUAUCAGUACCAACUCUUGUGGUCACUGUGCAUUGAUUCCACCAACACAUGGGGAAUUCUAGUCCAAGUUAAAUAUUAAUAGAGUUUCCUGCUUGCAAAGUCUCUGCUGCUUUUKACCUUAGCAAAUAAGCUCCUUGCCCAAGGAUUUGGUCAAAUGAGGGAGGARAAAACCCAAAUCACCAAAAGAAUAYCUUAAAAUUWAGUUUGUUUGAUUUUCUUUAGAAUGGAACAGGGMAUAAUUGUAACAUUUUUCACUGAAUAAUUGUAUUUCCAAAAGUCAUGACAUUGAAACRAAUACAGGCUUUUGAGGGGUAUAUAUAUGAUAUUUAUUGUGAUAAAUGUCCUUGAAUUCUUCUUGCUAAUUCACCAUAUAUUUGCAGAGUGAUCCAAGUGUUAGAGCAAACAUUGACAGCUCAUGUUAUUAGGAAGCACAGAAGAAAGAUCUAAGAAUCAGCAAAGACUGUUGUGUACCGUGAAGGUGUGAUAGAAGAUGAGGCAGUGAUGUCGAGAUUCCRUACCUGAAUCUGACAGAAUUUACAAGCUGAAGAUCUAUUCAAACACAACAGACUAACUUGGUGUAAAGAAAGAGUGACUAUCAUGUGGGGACAG